GACGAACGCUGGCGGCGUGCUUAACACAUGCAAGUCGAACGGAAAGGCCCUGCUUUUGUGGGGUUCUCGAGUGGCGAACGCGUGAGUAACACGUGAGUAACCUGCCCUUGACUUUGGGAUAACUUCACGAAACUGGGGCUAAUACCGGAUAGGAGCUCCUGCUGCAUUGUGGGGGUUGGAAAGUUUCGGCGGUUGGGGAUGGACGCGCGGCUUAUCAACUUGUUGGUGGGGUAGGGGCUUACCAAGGCUUUGACGGGUAGGCGGCCUGAGAGGGUGGACGGGGACAUUGGGACUGAGAUAGGGCCCAGACUGCUACGGGAGGCAGCAGUGGGGAAUAUUGCCCAAUGGGCGGACGCCUGAUGCAGAAACGCCGCGUGCGGGAUGACGGCCUUCGGGUUGAAAACAGCUUUAGCCUGUGACGAAGCGUGAGUGACGGUAAUGGGUAAAGAAGCACCGGCUAACUACGUG
rnacentral:rRNA from 1 species